rnacentral:rRNA from 1 species
GAUGAACGCUGGCGGCGUGCCUAAUACAUGCAAGUCGAGCGAACAGACGAGGAGCUUGCUCCUUCGACGUUAGCGGCGGACGGGUGAGUAACACGUAGGUCACCUACCUAUAUUUCUGGGAUAACUUCGGGAAACCGGAGCUAAUACCGGAUAAUAUUUCGAACCGCAUGGUUCGAUAGUGAAAGAUGGCUUUGCUGUCACUUAUAGAUGGACCUGCGCCGUAUUAGCUAGUUGGUAAGGUAACGGCUUACCAAGGCAACGAUACGUAGCCGACCUGAGAGGGUGAUCGGCCACACUGGAACUGAGACACGGUCCAGACUCCUACGGGAGGCAGCAGUAGGGAAUCUUCCGCAAUGGGCGAAAGCCUGACGGAGCAACGCCGCGUGAGUGAUGAAGGUCUUCGGAUCGUAAAACUCUGUUAUUAGGGAAGAACAAACGUGUAAGUAACUGUGCACGUCUUGACGGUACCUAAUCAGAAAGCCACGGCUAACUACGUG